CCAUUUUACCCUUGUUUUACCGUACUUUAAUUAAUUAAUUGUUGUCACACAAAUCUACAGGGUCAUUUCUUUUUUGCAAUUUUCAUCUAAAUAGACAAAGCCUAGUAAAGUAAGUGUUGGCCUUCAAAACAAAAGGGGAUUAUGAAACCAUGAAACAGAGACCAAAAUUGAUAGAUACAUAAAACAGAGGCUUAGUUUAGACCAAAAUUUAAAAUAAUCUCAUAUUCUUUCACCUUUUACUAAAAAAAGAAAAAACAACCAAAUAUUAUUAUACGAAGUUAUUAGAAAAAGAAGUAUCUGUUUCUCCACUUGUUUGACUCAUAUUCCUGCAUAGAAAAAGCCAAACUUCAUAUUCAACACCAGCUAAUAUAAUUUUUAUUGAUUUUCUUUCCUAUGAAUCACCAUGACUAAUAACUUCUUCCUUUUGGUUUUGUUGGUAUCUAACCGGAUCUUUUUACUAAAAUAAUACAAUCUGGAAUUAAUAUUAUUAUUUUAUAUGUUCUUUUUUUUUCUUUAAGUAAAAUAAAACAAAAAAAAUUGUCAUGGGUAUAAAGAUGGUCUAGCACUAAGGUGUAAACUCAAGAAUCCUAUAUGAUGAAGCUCUAAGUUGAAAGAUAAUUAUAUAAGGAAUUGAAUUACAUGCAAGUUACAAUUUUUAUUUUCAUUUUAUAACAUAAAUAUUAAAUAGUAUCUUGUUUAAAAAAACAAUAAUCUGUAUUUUCUUUAAGCAAAAUGGUAAAUAGGUUGGUUAAGUAAAUAGUCAAACAUGUAAUUUUUACUUUUAAAAUGCUUCAUCACCAACAACUUUCUUUUGAAUUCUUCAAUCUGUGUUUGUCAAUGUAAGGCAACUACUUUCUUCAAAUCAUCCUUUUUCUCUCUCUGCAAGUCGAGGCAAACAGUGGUUGGUACUGUGUGUGUGUUUGUAACAGAAAAUCAAUUUCAGCCAAAUAAGGUACCACAAACACCAAGGAUAAGAUCCGAGGAAUGUGACAUGCAUUGGAUUUCUCAAUUUUGUCAACUUUUUUUUAUUUUUUUUUUUUGUAAAUAUUAAUAAAACAUAUUCAUUGCUAUAAGUUUAAAUUUAAUUGAAACACUUACCUCUCCUGUGAGCAAAACAGGUCUCUUUUAUAAAAAGGUUACACAUUGGACCAUAGGAACGGAACUGUAGAUGCAAGCAUGAAAACAUGGGAAACCAAAGUAAGUAAAUGGUAUCCCUACCAACUCAAAGAACACAUACAUCAAAAACUGCAUAAAAUUACCAGAUAAAAAAAAAUAUUACUUGUAAUAUGAAACCUGUAACAUUAUGGUGACAUGGGUACCUUCAACCUCCCAUUCGAAUGUAGGAGCAGAGCAAUUGGUUAUACAGAGGGUCCAAUUGAUCGACGAUACCUUGAUAAGAACCGAGAAUAAAAUCGAUUUCAGGUAUUAGGAAAUCGUUUUGAUACUUGAGCUAUUAGGAAAUCGAUUUGAUACCUGAGAAAGAGAAGGAGAAGGUGGUUUCUUCCAUGUCGAUGAGCUGAGGUGGGGAUAAAUCGGAGGUUUUCCUCAGGAAGCGAAGACUUCUAGCCGGACGUGAAGCUGAUCAACAAAAACUCAAGCUGUCAAAAGUACCAUAAAUCGAUGCUAAACUUAAAUAGUUAAUAGCGCAAUGAUCAGUGAAUAACUCGAAAUCCGAUCCCGAACUUUCAUAUACUUCUAUCAACAAUCGGAAUGAGGAAGCAGCCGGACAUGUGGCUUUAACAAAUUCAAGACUAUCAUAAUAACUGGCUUUCAAUAUGAUCAGAAGCUAAUUCAAACUAAGCAAAACGAUAAAAGUUUGCCUCAGAUAAACAAAACCAUAUUUAAAGUUCUAUGAUCAAAUCAGGAAGAAAAUCAGAGCAUAUCGAUCUUAUUAUAUCUACAAAAUUCUACAUGAUACGCGAAAGCAACCAUACGAAAUAGUUGAUCAACAAAAACUCAAGCUGUCAAAAGUACCAUGAAUCGAUGCUAAACUUAAAUAGUUAAUAGCGCGAUGAUCAGUGAAUAACUCGAAAUCCGAUCCCGAACUUUCAGAUACUUCUAUCAACAAUCGGAAUCAGGAAGCAACCGGACAUGUGGCUUUAAUAUGAAAGGGGAUUUAGGGUUUUUGAUGAUGUCGCAAUGGUGAGGAGUUAGACCGGUGGCCGGUACAGAGAAAAGCGGAGUAGGUUGUCGAUGAAUGAGAUCCGCAAGAGAGCAUAUUGGUGUGGAAGGAUUUGGAGGCAGUGAUAGAUUACCAGC
rnacentral:lncRNA from 1 species